GCCAGUCUAGUAGUUAAGGCACCAGGCUACAAACCAGGAGACUGUGAGUUCUAAUCUCACUUUAGGCA
rnacentral:tRNA from 1 species